GGCAUCAUAGCUGGUAGUGUGGCAAUAGCUGCACAGAGUCUCCGUCUUCCUAAACUGAAGGCCUGUUUGGGGAUGCAGAUUGUUUUGUGUGUAGUGUCAGUGACCUCCUUUUUUAUGAGCUCGGGGGUAAUUAUGUACACCCAUGUGUAUCACCGCUGCUGGGAAUUUGAACAUGAUAACCACACUUCUAAAAUAUUCGAUAUGUGCGAAGGGUUGUCGAUUGCGUAUGAUCAUGUGAAAGGACUGGAAAUGCUAGUGCUCGGAGCUCAGAUUGCCAUCUCUGCCACUUUAUCUGCGUUCUGCUGCAAAGUUAUUCAGUGCUGUUCUCCCCGGUCCAGCAUUCCCACGAUUGUUCUGAAUGCAGCCUCAGCUCCUCAGAGACGGCCAUCCAUACAAUAAACCAUGUAAUCAUUCAUAUGCUGUUACACAUAUACACAU
rnacentral:lncRNA from 1 species